rnacentral:rRNA from 1 species
AAUAGAUACCCGGGUAGUCCACGCCGUAAACGAUGGAUGCUAGCUAGUUGGGGGGGAAUCCGACCCCCUCCGAAGCGAAGCUAACGCGUUAAGCAUCCCGCCUGAGUAGUACGAGCGCAAGCUUAAAACUCAAAGGAAUUGACGGGGACCCGCACAAGCGGUGGAGCGUGUGGUUUAAUUCGAUGGUAAACGAAGAACCUUACAAGGUUUGACAUCCCGGUAGCCGUUCUCCGAAAGGAGAAUUUCAUUUAGUUGGACCGGUGACAGGUGAUGCAUGGCCGUCGUCAGCUCGUGUCGUGAGAUGUUGGGUUAAGUCCCGCAACGAGCGCAACCCUUAUGAUUUAGUUGGAUUUUUCUAAACAGACUGCCCUGGUAACAGGGAGGAAGGAGGGGAUGAUGUCAGGUCAGUAUUUCCCUUACACCUUGGGGCGACACACGCGCUACAAUGGCCGGUACAAUGGGCAGCUAAGCCGCGAGGUGGAGCAAAUCCCAUCAAAAGCCGGGUCCCAGUUCGGAUUGCAGGCUGAAACCCGCCUGCAUGAAGCCGGAAUCGCUAGUAACCG